GCCCGCAAGGCUCAAACCCACACACGUAUCGACACGGUCUCCUGGGUGCCCGCAAGGGUUGGAUAUCGGGAUACGUGGAGGCCUAAC
rfam:Pseudomonas sp. FeS53a scaffold9.1, whole genome shotgun sequence.